AUUGAACGCUGGCGGCAUGCCUUACACAUGCAAGUCGAACGGUAACGGGCCUUCGGGUGCCGGCGAGUGGCGCACGGGUGAGUAAUACAUCGGAACGUGCCCGAUCGUGGGGGAUAACGAGGCGAAAGCUUUGCUAAUACCGCAUACGAUCUACGGAUGAAAGCAGGGGACCGCAAGGCCUUGCGCGGACGGAGCGGCCGAUGGCAGAUUAGGUAGUUGGUGGGAUAAAAGCUUACCAAGCCGACGAUCUGUAGCUGGUCUGAGAGGAUGAUCAGCCACACUGGGACUGAGACACGGCCCAGACUCCUACGGGAGGCAGCAGUGGGGAAUUUUGGACAAUGGGCGCAAGCCUGAUCCAGCCAUGCCGCGUGCAGGAUGAAGGCCUUCGGGUUGUAAACUGCUUUUGUACGGAACGAAAAGCCUUCUUUUAAUACAGGAGGGUCAUGACGGUACCGUAAGAAUAAGCACCGGCGAACUACGU
rnacentral:rRNA from 1 species